rnacentral:rRNA from 1 species
UAGGGAAUCUUCCACAAUGGACGAAAGUCUGAUGGAGCAACGCCGCGUGUGUGAUGAAGGCUUUCGGGUCGUAAAGCACUGUUGUAUGGGAAGAACAGCUAGAAUAGGAAAUGAUUUUAGUUUGACGGUACCAUACCAGAAAGGGACGGCUAAAUACGUGACAG